ACUGAAGUCCUUCAUUUACAGCCUGCAGUGUUCUGCUCUGAAGUGACAGUGAAACUCUGAGCAUUUGGACGAGAGAGAACAACAACAGCAGCAAACAAAAUGGCUUCUAAGUUUUCAGAGGAGGAUUUCUCCUGUCCUGUGUGCUGUGAAAUCUUCAAGGAUCCUGUUCUUCUGCACUGCAGUCACAGUGUGUGUAAAGUGUGUUUGCAGCAGUUCUGGGAGACCAAAAGAUCCAGAGAAUGUCCUGUUUGUAGGAGGAAGUCAUCUGUGGCUGAGCCUCCCAUAAACCUGGCCUUAAAGAACCUGUGUGAGACUUUCUUACAGGAGAGAAGUCCGAGAUCUUCAUCAGGGUCUGAAACAGUCUGCAGUCUACACAGUGAGAAACUCAAACUCUUCUGUCUGGAUCAUCAACAGCCGGUGUGUGUGGUGUGUCAGACUUCAAGAAAACACACCAACCACAAAUUCUGCCCCAUUGAUGAGGCAGUAACAGACUGUAAGGUAAAUAAAAUGGACAUAUGAACUCGUGGGUCACAUGUGAACAAAUGCUGUUGUUCAUAACUAUGACAAUUACUUUGUAAUCAAUUUAGUUCAUCUGAGUUCAAAUAAUAUCAAAAACACAGAGACUCCAAGCAGCGUGUUAAUUUAUUUCAGGAGAAGCUCAAAACUGCACUGAAGCCCCUACAGGAGAAACUGAAGGUCUUUAAAAACUGUAAACGAAAAUGGAGUCAGACUGCAAAACAUAUAAAAAUUCAGGCCCAACACAGAGCGUCAGAUUAAGGAGGAGUUUGAGAAGCUUCACCAGUUUCUACGAGAUGAAGAGGCAGUCAGGAUCACUGCACUGAGAGAGGAAGAGGAGCAGAAGAGUCAGAUGAUGAAGGAGAAGAUUGAGAAGCUGAGCAAAGACAUAUCCUCUCUUUCAGACACAAUUGGAGCCAUAGAAGAGGAGAUGAGAGCUGAAGAUGUUUCAUUC